UACGUAGGGGCCGAGCGUUGUCCGGAGUUAUUGGGCGUAAAGAGCUCGUAGGCGGCUUGUCGCGUCGACUGUGAAAUCCCGCGGCUCAACUGCGGGUCUGCAGUCGAUACGGGCAGGCUAGAGUUCGGUAGGGGAGACUGGAAUUCCUGGUGUAGCGGUGAAAUGCGCAGAUAUCAGGAGGAACACCGGUGGCGAAGGCGGGUCUCUGGGCCGAUACUGACGCUGAGGAGCGAAAGCGUGGGGAGCGAACAGG
rnacentral:rRNA from 1 species